rnacentral:lncRNA from 1 species
UUUCUUCUAUUCUUCUCUCUAUACGUUGGUGUUCUAACCAAUAAUCACCAAAGCGAUGUCCUGUCCGAUCGAUUCAGGAACCAUCUAACGAAUACCGAAGUGUUGUGCUUUGUGAAUUUCGUUUAACGGAAUCCAAAGUACUAUACUUUGUGAGUUCAUUAAAUGGAUACCAAAGUACUGUCUGAAUAAGACUAUACUUUGUGAAAUUCGUUAAGGUUCGAAUCUCGUGACUACCGUUAAGGUUUGAUUUGGGUUUUACACAAAUACGUAUUCCAUUCUGUUAAACUAUGUGUUUAACUACCAAGAAUACUCCCAACUACACACUUACAAUCAAACAAACUAUUAAAUCAUCAGAAGAUCCAGAAUAAUAAAGUGCAUGCUUAAUUAUCGGAAGAAGUAGAAUCAGGAAGCUUGUUAACUCAAUCUUGCAUGCUUAUAAAGUAAUUACAGUAGAUUGGAGUAAGGAUUGGAUCCGGCACUAAAAGACUUUAAGAAGUGGCUUAUUUUAUUAAUUAAAUCAAAUUAAGAAAUAUUGUUUUUAUUAAAAGCUACCUUUGUAAAAAUGGAAUUUAUUCCAUCUAUUUAAAUAAAAUCCGGUGUUUCUAAACUCUGAUAUUUUUUUUCCUAACUCACGGUCCGGAUGAAAUUUCCGCUGCAGUGUUUUCAAAAAUAACCACCGGUACCGCUUGACUGCUCGCGACUCCCGAUUCCGUCCAGGGUGGGUCGGGGGACGUGACAAAUGGGGUUUUCAUUAAAGGGAAAAAUUUAAAAUCGAAAUUUAAAAAAAGGGAAUAAAAAUUUACUAAUUACCUAAUACAAGAUUCGAACCCGGUGUCCAGUGAAGAAGAACGCAGAUUAACCAGUGGAAUACCAAAGCUUAUUUGUUUAUGGGUUCCUUUUCAGUUUCUUAUAUAUAUUUGCACUAAAAAUUGAAAACCGAAUGGGUUCCUGGAACCUGAUGUGUGUUCAUAAGUCUGCCCUUGCCCGGGUACCACUAGACUGCAGUUGGUUUUGUUACAGAUAUAAGGUUUGAAGUAGAGGUGGCAAAAUGGGUGGGUUGGAUUGGGUUGGUUAUCGGGUUAGAAUGGGUUUGGGUUAGUAUGGGUUUAGUAAAAAAUGAGUAAGGAUGGGUUUAGAUUUAGAGGCUGUUUGGUAGCCUCUUAAUGACCAUUCAGAUGCUACCUCUUAGUGGUUUAAAACCUUAGAAUGAAUAAGAGGUAACCUCAAGUCUGAAUGGUUAAGAGGUAACCUCUGAAUGGUAAAUCAUCACAUGUCACAUUCUUCUACCUUCUUAUUGGUAAAAUUCUUAAUAUUAGUCAGUUUUAAAAGAAUUAUUUACCAACUUGACUAGAUACAAUGUAGAUUAUGUUGCAUAUUUAUAGGGAUUAUAAGUUAAAAGUAGUCUCGUAUAGAUAAGAUUAGUUAGAAACAAAAAAUCUGAACUUAGUAUGAUAUAAAGUUAAUAAAGAUGUAAACUCUUAACAUCCUAUUUUUUUUAUAAAAACAGUUCUUGAAAUUUAUAAAAAUAUAAACUUUUUAUAUUUGUAAAAAAACGAAAUUUAACAAUUUAAGUUAAAGGUCUGAAACGUACUUACGAGUCAAAUUUUAUUUUUUAUUUUUUAUAAAAACGAAAAUUUUAAACUUAAAAUUUAUUGGAUGAGUAGUAUGUGGAUUUUUAAAAAAAGUUAUGAACUUUAAAGAAUAAAAUUGUACUUUAUAAUUUAACCAAUAAAAUUAACAUACUUUACAAUUAUAACAACGUAUCUUUUAUUUUUUGUCUUUUGAUUAUUAAUUUUUAUAAAAGAAUAAAAAUUUACAUAUGUAAAACAAUUAUUUAUUUUUUUUAUACAAAAAAAACAUUUUAUUUUUGGAAAGAAAAUAUUUUAAAAAAAAAAUUGUAACAAGUAAUGUUAUAUAUAUAUAUAUCUAUCUAUCUAUCAUAUCUUAUAUGUAACAAUUACAUGAUAAAACAUAUGUAACUAAAAUACUUUGCAUUUCUUUCUGUUUCCCUAAACUGCCCCAGCAGCUACUACUGAUGUAUCAGUUAAAGAGGAGAUCAAAGAAGAAACCCAUCGUCCAAAAUAUGUAACAAUCAAACAGGAAGAGUUACAAGAAAUUCUAAAGGAUGUUGAUCGCGAUGAAGAGAAAUUGUGGUGUGACAAUAUGUAUGAGAUCGUUGAGAUGUUUAAGCCGUAUGAUUACUAGAUUUUUAACCUCAUGAUUCAAAGUACUUGACACUUGAGCUUUUAGUUUUCAACAUUUAUGUUUAAGACUUAUCUUUUCCUUAUUUGUGUGCUACUUUAUAUAACUUUUAGUUAUGU